rnacentral:rRNA from 1 species
GACGAACGCUGGCGGCGUGCUUAACACAUGCAAGUCGAACGGCAAGGCCCUGCUUUUGUGGGGUGCUCGAGUGGCGAACGGGUGAGUAACACGUGAGUAACCUGCCCUUGACUUUGGGAUAACUUCAGGAAACUGGGGCUAAUACCGGAUAGGAGCUCCUGCUGCAUGGUGGGGGUUGGAAAGUUUCGGCGGUUGGGGAUGGACUCGCGGCUUAUCAGCUUGUUGGUGGGGUAGUGGCUUACCAAGGCUUUGACGGGUAGCCGGCCUGAGAGGGUGACCGGCCACAUUGGGACUGAGAGACGGCCCAGACUCCAACGGGAGGCAGCAGUGGGGAAUAUGGCACAAUGGGCGGAAGCCUGAUGCAGCAACGCCGCGUGCGGGAUGACGGCCUUCGGGUUGUAAACCGCUUUCGCCUGUGACGAAGCGUGAGUGACGGUAAUGGGUAAAGAAGCACCGGCUAACUACGUG